GGGCUCCUGGAAAGACAUCUGUUAUCAUAAUGGGCCUGAUAAUUAUCAAGCAUUCAAGUGUAUAACGCUCUUUCUGGCGACUCCGACUGGAGGGCGUCUUGUACAAGGGAAUUGCGAACUUGGGAAGUGGAAAAUGAAUCAGAAAUUUGGAGGGGGGAAACCGCCAACUGGAACGCCGUCGUUACCUUGGUCGUGCGCAGUCGUGAUCGUUUCGCUCCUCGCCGGUGCCUCGGUCGUCCACAACAUAUUUAAGCCUGAUCUGACUUUGCCUCCAAUUGAGAAAAGCGUUGAUGGGGCUCAACGAGAACCCGUGGAAAAACACUGAUGAAUUUCCAGUUUCACUUGUCUGUUGAGGUGUAAUUCAGGAGUCACUCACUACCAGUACCAGCAGUGGUGCUUCAUAAAUUUAUACAUUUGAAACUUUUUUUAAGUAUAUACAAUUUCAUGAGUUCCACUGUGAUUUGGAUCCCCAUUUUUCCUUUUUUUGGUGGGGACUUGUCUUCUAGUAUUUGAAUUUCGGUUCAAGUUUGAUCUCUUCGUGACGUGUCUAGGGCAUGUUAAUAAUCCACAUCAAGUUAGAGAUGGAGAACUGCAACUGUCUUUGAGCUCAUUCUCAAUCCCCAAAUCCUUGCAAUAAUUUUUAGUGUAGUAUUUGGCUUGUCUUUGCGACUACUGUUUACUAAUAUUAGCAGUUAUGCAAAGGAAAAAUUGAAGUAAAUUCAGCCGUAUUUUAUUGUCAAAUUAGAUAUAAUUGAUACUUACAAGCAAAUUGCACGUGUAAUCAACUGUUUGUAUUAAAUAUGCAUGGUUGAUGUUGCAUACUAAUUGAUAUGCCAUUCCCAUGACAAACCGGAGUAAUUGGCAAUCCCACCCUGUUCUUUUCCACCGAGCGCAAAAUUUUGUGUGAAGCAAAAAAAAAA